UUUUCCGCUGCUAAGUUUUUAAAAAUGUUUUCAAACUCUGAUUUUAUUUUUGAAAUCUUUUUCAAAACCAAGUUUUUCCAAUCCACACAAUUCCCCUCACCCCCUCUCUUGUGUGUGAAGUCUCAAGUCCAACAAAUGUUAAUUGGAAACCAUUAGUCAUGUAAGAUUCAAGGUAUUUAAUAAAAAGGGUUCAAAUUUUAUGAUAUGAUUGAAAGGAUUAUCCAAGAGGUGAGAUUUAUUCACGAC
rnacentral:lncRNA from 1 species